GCAGCUUCCUUCAUGGACAGAGUCAAUUUCACUGACCAGCCAGGAGGACAGCAUCUGCUCCUUGUCUGUUCCAUUAGUGUUGAAAGGUUUGCACAAAUCUAUUUACCCGCCCUCCUUUCCCUGUGCCCGUUAUGACAAAAAAAAAAACCGGAGCUUUGCCAGACAGCUAGCCAAACCUCCACUGUCCCCUGGCUGUGGAACUGUGUCCGGAGAUGGUUCCUUCCGGUGGGUUCUUGGUCUCGCUCACUUCAAGAAUGAAGCCGCGGACCUUCACGAAAAGUUCUCCAAGUCCCCACCGGACCAAGAAGUCCAACUGGCUUCACCUCCCAGAACAAGCCACCAAGGAAACCACCUGGAUCACACAGAAAUCACACGCAUGACCCUGACCUUGGUCCCUUCUCAACAGAAAAUUUAAAAUAAAAUAAAACAACCUCUCAAAAUUGUGCUCGUUCUUGAGAAAACUUUUUAUAGAAUUAUCUUAUUCAGAAUAAAAUUUUUAUACCAGACAAGGAAAACAUUUUCCAAAUUACAUUUACAAGAAACCUUGGGGAAAG
rnacentral:lncRNA from 1 species